GAUGAAGAACGCAGCGAAAUGCGAUAAGUAAUGUGAAUAGCAGAAUUCAGUGAAUCAUCGAAUCUUUGAACGCAUCUUGCGCUCCUUGGUAUUCUGAGGAGCAUGCCUGUUUGAGUGUCAUUAAAUUCUCAACUACACUGACUUUGAAUUGGUGUGGCUUGGAUUUGGGGGGAAAAUUGUUGUGGGCUUUUUGUAUAGUCUGCUCCCCUGAAAUUGAUUAGCGGUACCUUUGUGGAACUGUCUACAGGUGUGAUAAUUAUCUACAUCUUAGACAUCUGCUGGAAUGCUGCUUUCUAAACCUUACUUGUAUUGACAAUCUUGACCUCAAAUCAGGUAGGACUACCCGCUGAACUUAAGCAUAUCAAUAAGCGGAGGA
rnacentral:misc_RNA from 1 species